AGUGAACGCUGGCGGUAGGCCUAACACAUGCAAGUCGAACGGCAGCACAGUAAGAGCUUGCUCUUACGGGUGGCGAGUGGCGGACGGGUGAGGAAUACAUCGGAAUCUACUUUUUCGUGGGGGAUAACGUAGGGAAACUUACGCUAAUACCGCAUACGACCUACGGGUGAAAGCAGGGGAUCUUCGGACCUUGCGCGAUUGAAUGAGCCGAUGUCGGAUUAGCUAGUUGGCGGGGUAAAGGCCCACCAAGGCGACGAUCCGUAGCUGGUCUGAGAGGAUGAUCAGCCACACUGGAACUGAGACACGGUCCAGACUCCUACGGGAGGCAGCAGUGGGGAAUUUUGGACAAUGGGCGCAAGCCUGAUCCAGCCAUACCGCGUGGGUGAAGAAGGCCUUCGGGUUGUAAAGCCCUUUUGUUGGGAAAGAAAAGCAGCAGGUUAAUACCCCGCUGUUCUGACGGUACCCAAAGAAUAAGCACCGGCUAACUCCGUG
rnacentral:rRNA from 1 species